ACGUUCCGGUCACCGUGUUCCCCGCUGGGUGGCGCGCUCCACGAGGGGCAAGCUGGGCUCCUCCAGACCGUUUAGAAGUUUUGAGAAGCAGGCUGUGCUAAAUUGUUCUGAGGCACCUGGUGCUGCACGGUCUACUGUCCAUGAAGCCCCAGAUGUCUUCCUGAAGGAAGUGGAGAAGGCAGAGGCAUUUUCCACCACCGAGGUGGCCCUACGAGCCAGCCUAGGUCAAGGCCGUGCCCACCUGCCCGCCCAAUGCGUACGGCGGAACCACGCGGGCAGCCCUCUCAGUGUUCAGCUUGAAGCACACGCCUGGCUCCACGGAUGGUGGCGUUGACCCAAGAGGCCUGGUGGGCGCUGGGAACUCUCCCGCUGAGUGGUCAGAGGGAUAAAAUAAGCAUUUAAUUUCAUUCAGUAAAUCAGUAAAUCAAUUCCAGUUAACUAUCUGGUAGAAAACUUAGAAGAAAG